AAGCUACAGGAAUAAGCUGCAAUGAUAGCGCGAAUGAAAGUGCAACUCUAAGAACUGGUAAGAGAGUAACCCUAGUAUCCAUAGGCAACAAAACAGUUAACUUUUACCCUGACCUCUACAUCUCGAUUUCAUAUCCUCAUUCGAUUUCUUGUUUCUCAGGUAUCAAAACCAAAUAAAGCCACCAGAAAUUACUGAAUUUAGUAUCUUAUCCUAAAGUUUUUCACUCACUAUUUCCCUUCUUUUCUCCGCAACCAAACAGGGGAGUCCUUACCUCUAAUUUUUCCUGGUCUGGUACCAAACGGGACGUGAGUGAAGCAAAGAGUUGCUUCCAUCGGGCUGCAAGUGCGGCGCUAGUCUGCUACGUAUUCUGUUCCUG
rnacentral:misc_RNA from 1 species